GGGGAGCUACGGAAGGAGGGUGUGUGUGUAGAUCUAGUGAUUGAGUGGGGAAGGAGGUGGAAGAAGAAUUUAGGCAAAGCAGUGGCAGGGAACUGGAAGGACGCAGCAGACAUGGGAGGAUGGGAGGAGAGGUGGGGAGGUGGGAGGGGGCGAAUGGAGAGAGGGCUUUUCCUCACCCCCUAAAUGGAAGCUGCUAACGCUUUAGCAGCAACAAUGCAAACCAGCUGAUUGAAACAACAACAACAACAACAACAUCUUUGGGGUGAACUUAAUCAAAAGGGAGACUGGGAGUGGUGGGUUUUGGAACCUGUCGGGUGGAGCUGUAGACUGGGGGACUGUAGAAGUGACACACGCAGGUUCUCCUUGGAAACGUCGCUGAACGCAACUGCCUUCCAUUCUUUUUCCUGUCACUCAGAGGUGGGGGGGACUGUGGUUACACAGGCAGCCUCUCUCCCCCUUUCUACCCCAGGCCUGCACAUGUAGCAUUCCAGAGUUUUCCAGUGACGAUCCAAAAAAGCAUGCUGGACAACGUUGACUUACACCUUAGACGCCUUAGGAUAAGUGUCCACUUGCCAGGAUAGGUGAGCAUCAGGAACAUGGGCACCACAGUCAUCACCCUUGAGGAUGUGCGGGCACUGGAGGUUAAGGAGGAGCAGGAGGAGUCCAUCUUGGCCAUGUUAGGCAUCAUAGGCACAUUCCUCAAUCUCUUUGUUAUUGUUUUUGUUUACAUCUAUACAACACUCUGAAGAGACAAAUCUGAUAAGCAGUGGAGGUUAAUUAGAAAGAGAAAUCUGACAUGAACAUCUUCCCCAAAGAGAGGAGGAAGAGUGGAAUGGAUUGUCUGGCUAAGGAUGAAGACAAUGAAGCCAUAUUUCCAAGUCAAAGAUAUGAGUCUGGGAGAUAACAAAGGGCUAGAAGAUCUGACAAGAGUGGAGCGAAACCGGACAGACACUAGCGGGCCCCCAGCCAGUACUGACCCAUAUGUGGCCUGACAGGAAAUACAAACUUCCCCUUUGUUGGAUUCACUGGAAAGAUGAGCCAACAACACAGCCCUGGGGGACACAACACUGAUGUUUUUCCAUUUAUUUUAUACUCAAUUUUCAAGCUGACGGGACAGUAAUUGCUACUUUCCAGGAAGAGCUUUUAGGCAACAUGUUCAUGUUUCAGAGCAGGAUCUGUGACUACAGUUGGACACCAAAUUCAAUCAGUCUUUGGGGCCAAAAUUGUCUUGCUUCAGGGCUCCUGUCAAAAAAGUGUGCUUCCCCCAGAAAUGUGGCUUUGGACAAGCUUUGUGUACCGUCAUCUCCUUUAAAUAAUAACAGCUACAACAAUUAUAUCUUAUUUAAAAAAAUAAAUAAAAUCAAUCUGAAAUGAGAACAAAAAGAGGGUGGGGAGUGGGAGAAUGCUGUUACAGUAAGACAGUCGAGAAACUGGGAGAACAAGAUAUAUGUCAUAUUAUUUAUUUAGUUAUUUCUUCGGCUGUACCUCUGCCCAGCUUCUCAAGCUGAUUUGUGGGAGGGGACUGAAAAAUCCUCUUGGUAUAUUUGUUAAUUUUGAUUUGGGAGUAAUGACAGCAAACCUUUUCCUGUAUUACAAAGGCUUUUUUUAAAAAGAAAUAAAUAAAAAAAAAAAAAAUGAAUAUUUGAAUAAAAUGUCACGAUGUAUUGUGCAACAUGAGACAUUUGAACAAUAAACAUCAGAGCACAUUAUGAA